AAGACUAUAGACCUGCGGAGUACCUGCGGAGGGAUCAUUACAGAGUUCUUUGCAACUCCCAACCCUGUGAACCAUACCAAUUUUUUGUUUGUUGCUUCUGGCAGCGCCCUCGCGGGCGUCUGCCAGCGGUGACCGGCUCCAACCUUCUUCUGUAUCUUACCGUCUGAGCUUCUGAAAAAUAAAUCAAAACUUUUAACAAUGGAUCUCU
rnacentral:misc_RNA from 1 species